rnacentral:rRNA from 1 species
AUUGAACGCUGGCGGCAUGCUUUACACAUGCAAGUCGAACGGUAACAGGCCGCAAGGUGCUGACGAGUGGCGAACGGGUGAGUAAUGCAUCGGAACGUGCCCAGUCGUGGGGGAUAACGCAGCGAAAGCUGCGCUAAUACCGCAUACGAUCUCUGGAUGAAAGCGGGGGACCGAAAGGCCUCGCGCGAUUGGAGCGGCCGAUGUCAGAUUAGGUAGUUGGUGGGGUAAAGGCUCACCAAGCCAACGAUCUGUAGCUGGUCUGAGAGGACGACCAGCCACACUGGGACUGAGACACGGCCCAGACUCCUACGGGAGGCAGCAGUGGGGAAUUUUGGACAAUGGGCGCAAGCCUGAUCCAGCAAUGCCGCGUGCAGGAAGAAGGCCUUCGGGUUGUAAACUGCUUUUGUACGGAACGAAACGGUCCGGGCUAAUACCCUGGGCUAAUGACGGUACCGUAAGAAUAAGCACCGGCUAACUACGUGCCAGCAGCCGCCGUAAGAC